rnacentral:rRNA from 1 species
CUAAUACCGCAUAAGCCCACAGGUCGGCAUCGACCAGAGGGAAAAGGAGCAAUCCGCUUUGAGAUGGCCUCGCGUCCGAUUAGCUAGUUGGUGAGGUAAUGGCCCACCAAGGCGACGAUCGGUAGCCGGACUGAGAGGUUGAACGGCCACAUUGGGACUGAGACACGGCCCAGACUCCUACGGGAGGCAGCAGUGGGGAAUAUUGCACAAUGGGGGAAACCCUGAUGCAGCGACGCCGCGUGGAGGAAGAAGGUCUUCGGAUUGUAAACUCCUGUUGUUGAGGAAGAUAAUGACGGCACUCAACAAGGAAGUGACGGCUAACUACGUGCCAGCAGCCGCGGUAAAACGUAGGUCACAAGCGUUGUCCGGAAUUACUGGGUGUAAAGGGAGCGCAGGCGGGAAGACAAGUUGGAAGUGAAAUCUAUGGGCUCAACCCAUAAACUGCUUUCAAAACUGUUUUUCUUGAGUAGUGCAGAGGUAGGCGGAAUUCCCGGUGUAGCGGUGGAAUGCGUAGAUAUCGGGAGGAACACCAGUGGCGAAGGCGGCCUACUGGGCACCAACUGACGCUGAGGCUCGAAAGUGUGGGUAGCAAACAGGAUUAGAUACCCUGGUAGUCCACACCGUAAACGAUGAUUACGAGGUGUUGGAGGAUUGACCCCUUCAGUGCCGC